CGAAUCCAGACACCAUAUGCCAUGCGAAGGCCUAUUACUUUAUUCGGUGCCACCGCUGACAGGCAGCCACGUGGGUAUCCCCAGCGGAAGGGCUGUCUCCUCCCGGCGGCGAGGACAGGAACCCAGUGAGCUGAACACAUCCGACAUUGUACGGAGCAGCAGGAACAGCUGGUAAGCUAGCAAGCGGCAACGGCCCAGCGAGGAGCGUGGAUGCUAAUGAGCCUGGCGACAAUGCCGGCCUUCAGAGGGGCUGCCACGGAUUAGAGCUAUCGAUCGCUGCCUGCAGAAGGGUCUCGCUGUGCGAAAGGAAGGUGAGCGCUAGAGACAGACAGCUCAAGUAUCGAUCUGCUCUGGCAGAAGGCCGUGGUUCCAGAUGCAGAGUGGCACUCCUUCACAUCACCCAUGAGUUACUAUAACGUGCACGGAAACACUAAAGAGCUGGGGGAUCGGGCCAAAGGCUGGAAUGUCAUCACCACCUCCUCGCCUGUCAGCUGGUCACGAGAUCCAAAGAUGCCAUGUGAAAUCUCUGGCUGUUUAAAAAACACAGGCAACAAAAGCCUAGGACGGGCAUUCCUAUGGUCUUCCAAGGCAGAACGGACAAACCACUGCCACAGAGGACUGCCAAGGGUCAUGUUAAGAAGUGGUCAGAGAAUGUGGAUACAUCUUUAAGAAUGUUCCUCCAGCGGCUGAGAGGUUCACCAGAGCCAUCAGGCCGGCUCUUACUAUAAAAAGACACAAUCCUUUUCCCCACUAAAAGCUGAUGCCUUCCCCUACUUAAAGCAAAACAUUAAAAAAAUUGGUCCAAACGGACAUUCUCCUUAAAGAAAUCUCAAUGAUACAAUUUAUAUGGUUUUCAAAAGAUUUUGGGGGAGACAACUUCCAAGGCACAAAGACAUAAACUCAUCUAAAAAGUCAAAUACAAUUAUGAGGUACAUCAAAACUCAUGAUUUUUGAAAGCAAUAUAAAAUUAGGAUUCAUGAGACCAAGUUAAAGUGAAAAUAAGGAGCUCAAGGAAAUCAAGUGUAACAGGAACAAAAUGCACGCUUUCAACACUUGCUUCUGUGGACACAGGAGCAGAGUGAACUCUAUUGCUUUCAUGACUUAACUCUCUGGAUUUAGAAGUCAUUAUUUAAAUCAGUUAUCUUUUCAGUAUCCAUAUUAAGUCAUUUCCUCCCAUGCACAUUGUAAAGACAUCCUGUGGUGUAAUUACAUAAAUGGCACUAGAGUCUACUUUCCCCUAAUUAGAAAUUCCUUAAAAUGUUUGCAUUUCUGAUUUUAAUCCAACUAACAUCUACUGACUUCUUAUGAUGUUAGAUGCCGGAGACUGAAAGAUGAAUAACACAUAGCUUUACCUUUAAGGAGCUUGCUGACCAGUGGAGGGGCAGAUGCCUCAUAGUGAGCCCCUCACCCAGUGUGGUCAGUGCUACACCAGCUAUGGAAGACAGAGAGAAAUGUCCGUUGGCCUGUGGCCCUCCUUGGACAGGCAGGCUGCUGCUUAUCUCACAACAGGCUCACUCUCCUCCCUUGAAUCUAGGCUGGCCUUGUGACCUGCUGUGGCCAAAUAGUUCUGAGACUUCCAAAGUGCUAUUGUGAAGAAGCUGGCACCUCCACCUGGAUCUCUGGAGCCUGUAGCAGCCAUGUCAGAAGCCUGACUGCUGCGAGAAGACCCAAACUAGCCAAGUGGAGGGGCUGCUGAGCCAGGUAUGCCUGGCCAGCCCCAAGCUGUUCCAGCUAUGCCAAUGCAGGUGCCAGAUGUAAGAGACCCUGGGUAAGAACCAUCCAGCUGAGCCCAGUCAACCCACAGAACCAUAGAAGAGCCUCCCUCCACCAUUUUGCCUUUAAACAUUUCUGCAAAAAUCUUUAUAAAGUUCCUUUUUUUUUUUAAGUGACAGUGUCUGCAGGCUAUUCACCGGCACAAUCAUAUUGCACUACAGCCUAAACUCCUGGACUCAAGUGAUCCUCCCACCUCCUGAGGAGCUGGAACUUGCAACACCAUGUCCAGCUCUUGCAAAAAUCAUGAUGCUUAAUUUUGCAAGUUUGCAGACUCUCAUGUGAGAAGACAAUGUUAGGACUUCUAUUAAUAUUUAUCUUUUUAUCUCCAAUGAUGAACUCAAUUAAGCUUUACUGAAAUUUAACACGUGCCUGACACUUGCACCCUUCUUGCUAGGUCAUCUAUCAGACUGUCCUAGGUCAGGUUCAAUGUAUGAGCUGUACUAAGAAAGAGAAGGAGAGGGAGCGAGGGGCUGGCAGUAGAGCCCUCAUUUACUUUCAGCACAGGGAGAGGUACCAUGGUUUACAUGAGCCUCCAAACUGAAGUGUUGAACUUUAUUAUCCUAUAAAUCGUAUUAUCUUUACAAUUCACUGUUCUGAGGCAGAGCAUGAACAUGGAAAUCUUUUGUCGCACACACGAGUUUGCCAUUUAUCUCACAGGAAAGAUCUUAUAAAAGCUGAAAUUUGAAUAUAAAGAUGAGUUGCUCAUUUUUCUUUUUUAUGGAAAGACAAAUGUCCUAAAUUUGGUGACCUUUUCUGUGAUGACAAGGAGCUGAAUUCGUUCAUUCGGCGUGUACUCACUGAAAAAAUAUUUACUCUGCAGCAGGUGCUGAGGCUACAUCCAGGGUUGGUAUUCACCUGGAAAACACCCGCAUGGCUGGCGUCCUGGUCAGUGCCAAACUGGUGUCCUUAUGUACCCACUGUUAAAUAUUUCCACUCUCACCCUUGGAGGCACCAGUGAACAAAGCAGACAGAAAUCUCUGCCCUCACGCAGGGGGCACGGUGUGAGUAAAAUCAGUGAAUUACAUAGUAACUGAGAGGGUGAUAAAGGCUGUGGGAACACACAGCAUGGGCAGCCCAGGCAGUGCUGGGAGGUGUGGGUGCACAUGUGUGCGGGGCUCUCGCAUAGGGAGACAGUGAAGAGGGGCCAAGGGAACAUGCCACGUGGGCAUCUGGGGAGCAGUAGAGGCAGGGGGCAUGGAGGGCACAGGCCUCCCCUGAAGGCCUGGAUGCUGAGGGAGGCAGGGCCCCUGGUGAGGGUGAGCUGGCAGUGACGUGGCUGACUCACACUUUAGUCGCUGGCCCUGGCUGAUGCUCCGAGGAGACUGGGGAGGAGGCCACGGUCAGCAAUGCGCCCUUAGCCAUUCCUUUAGGAAGAAAGAUACUGCUCCCACAAAAGAAAAGGAGAGCGCUGACACUGAGUGAGAGAGUAACUGCUAUUUGAAAGAAACAUGCUGUAAAGAGAAAGCCUUCAAUUGAGAUGUUGGAAAAUGUUGCCUUCAGCAUGGGAAUUUAUUGUCGAAGAUGGUUUCUGUUUUCAGAAAGCACUCAUAUCUCUACUAUCAAAACACUCAUAAACAGAAUUUUAUUUGUUUCUAAACUUCCAAAUAAGAGCUGAGUACAUUUUGAAUCUGUUUGUCCAAAA
rnacentral:lncRNA from 10 species